CACACCUCCGUCUGCUUCGCCCGCGUCGGGGCCCGAUAAGAGUGACCUCCCACUCGAUAUUAUUGAUUGUCGGCGUGACCGGCGGCGGGCGUGGCGGGUUACUGGUGCAGAUAAGCGCCCUAAGAGAGGCAUGACGGCCCUCCUGGUUUUCGUGACGUAAAGUGACACCGUUGGCUGGCUAACCAAUCCUUCAGGUCUUGAUUGGCCGGCCGACGCCAUUGGCUGGCAGAGCAACAAAGCCAGCGCGUGCAACCGGCGAGAGGAAGAGCCACAGGUUAAAGAGAAAGCGUAAAUACUCCCAAUGAUUCAAUUCGCGCUGACUGGCGCCAAUGAGCCCGUAACCUAUAGAUAAUAAGCUCGUCUUAAGCGCCGGAGUGGCUGACAUUUGACGCGCGAUGGAUCAUACAUUCGGCUGACGAGGUGCUGCCUGGAUUGACACCUGACAGCACGCGCGCCGACUCAUUCUCUGAUCGACAGAACAACAAUCUCUCUCUCCCGCUCGCUUUGCUUCUUUAGCGUCGACUCCGAAGGACAUCGCUUCAAUUUACGAGUGCGGGAGGAAUGUUCGGCCUUGUUUGUAUGUGAACGAGAGCCUGACACAAGCGCAUAAUUGAAGCAAAACCAUAGUAUGGUCACGCACACAGCGUCACUGCACUGCGAUCGUUAACAAGAGCUGGUCACGGCAUGCAUAUAUGUCACGUCUGAGAGGCUUGGCGAAUCAUAAAUCAUACAAAAACUGCGAUAAUGAAAGUCGAGAGAUCCCAUACUGCGCCACUCUGACCCCACGGAACCCUAGAUUUCCCUCGCAUUGAUUCAUUGCCGCCGGAGUAACAGCGGCGGAACGGGGGUCUUCCUCGCCUUCAGAAAUGAAGUUUAAACCGGAAAUAUCCACACAACACCUGCUUGACCUUCAGUAAAGGGAAUCUCCACUCUCCAGGCGCCUACGUUCGUCCAACUUCAUUAUGUGUCAUGACAUCCUGUGACAUCACAUGGAACGCCACUUAAUACGCGUAAAUAAACACCCAGAUCAUGAGUAACGACUCUCACAGUUCAGCAUGGAAAGCGCUAGGUCGCCAUUAACCAGACUCGGCAUAGCUGUGCGAGCGCGAGGAGGAGGAUGCCACAGACACAGGCGAACACUGCAGCGUGUCUAGUCACUGCGGAAGUCUCGUCGGGAGCCUCAGACCUUGCCCUCGUGACGGUGAAUAACCGACCAUUGUCGCGGGGCAGCGCCGUGCAAGAGACAAGUGUGCUGCGAGGCUUUCCUUAGACAGGGACAGGUGGGACACGUACAGACAUAGAUACGGUGUUGUGGAAGUAAUCUACCUGCGUGGGAAUGUAAGUAUAGGUUUUCCUCGCAGUCCGUUAAGGCGCGCCCUAAUGCCCCCUUUCCACAAGGCCUAUUAUCCGAGGAGGGGCGUACCGGAGGCCAAUGCAGCGAGGGCCGACCUCUCCGGCGGACCAUAGAACCGCAAUCCCGUUGCCUCGCCCAAGAAAAUUCGGGUAGGCCUAAAACAGAGAAGGCAGACAGGUGUGACCCCAAUUCCCCUCCCUUCUGCUCGAAGCGUGAAGGUGGGGGGGGGGGGGGGGAUGCAGCGAACAGGAAGAGGAAGUGCACUCGAAUAGAAAGGUAAUAAGGGUGGCGGAAGGAAGAUCUCCAAAAGAAUCGAAAAAUAUAUGAAGAAAAAUAUACAUAUGCAUACAUACGCACACACACACACACACACACACACACACACACACACACACACACACACACACACACACACACACACACACACACACACAUAUAUAUAUAUUCAUACAUAAACUCAUUUAAUCGCAGUUUAGUAAGCUUACUAAUGGCACAAAGUCAACGGGAAGAGCUGAAACCACGUCGAUCAUGACGGAUGAAAAGGAAGAAAAAGGAGAGAGAAGCAGCUGCUUCGUGAGUGAAUGAACAAGCCACGUAUUAGUGCGCGCGCGCGUAUGUGUAAAUGUUUGUGUGCAAGAAACCACACCUACACGGGGACGUCUGCAUGGAACGGCGAACGAAAGGAAGUAUUUGAAAACGCAGAUCUGUAAACAUCGUAUCUGUUGUAUCACUCAAUCUCAACCCGGCGAGUGAAAACAACCUCAAUGGGCUCCACGAAAACAUGGCGACCUGAGGCAGCAUCACCCUGGAGCACCACGACGCCCUUAAGGAACAAAAUGGACUCGCUGAACGUAUUAUUUCUAAUCAGAAUGAAUCACAACGCACCCCACCUCUCGCCCGGCAUAGCUGAUACGCGCUGGUGACGCCUAUUCUCGUUAUGGCAGUCAUAAAUUGUUUUAUUUUUCUCUUCCAGGGCCACGAUAAGGGUGACGAUAAUACGAAUAGGAUUUAGACGUUUUUUUCCCUCUCUAUUUUUGUCUUUGUCCUUCUCUCUGUCUGUCUGUCACUCUUCUUUCUAUUUCUCUCCCUCCCUCCCUUCCUCCCUUCCUCCCUUCUUCUCCCUCCUUCUUCCUCUCCUAAACAUCCAAUCUAAUUUUCAGUCUGAUAAUAAAAAGAUUUCGUAAAUGUAGUUUCACAACCGAGCAAGUUAUUACUCCGCGUCGGAACAUUACCGUGUUAGCCCUUAUCUUCAUAUGCUCUUGUUAUGUCAUAUCCCUCUUUAUCUCUGUCCUGUGGCGGAUUAUCAUUCUCGUACGUACACAGGCCAUGGUAGGUCGUAGGUAUAAGAACAGAAAAGUA
rnacentral:lncRNA from 1 species